rnacentral:tRNA from 1 species
UGUUUGGUGGCUGAGUGAGAGGCAAUAGACUGUAGAUCUAUUAACGGAGUUAAAUCUCCCCAACA